GACGAACCGUGCGAACGUUGUUCGGAAUCACUGGGCUUAAAGGGCGCGUAGGCGGGUGUGCAAGUCUGUGGUGAAAGCCUCCAGCUUAACUGGAGAAGUGCCAUGGAUACUGCACAUCUUGAGGAGGGUAGGGGCAUCUGGAACGGUCGGUGGAGCGGUGAAAUGCGUUGAUAUCGACCGGAACUCCGGUGGCGAAGGCGGGUCUCUGGGCCGAUAUUGACGCUGAGGAGCGAAAGCGUGGGGAGCGAACAGG
rnacentral:rRNA from 1 species